rnacentral:rRNA from 1 species
CACGUAGGGUGCGAGCGUUGUCCGGAAUUAUUGGGCGUAAAGGGCUCGUAGGCGGUUUGUCGCGUCGGGAGUGAAAGCCCGGGGCUUAACUCCGGGUCUGCAUUCGAUACGGGCAGGCUAGAGUUCGGUAGGGGAGAUCGGAAUUCCUGGUGUAGCGGUGAAAUGCGCAGAUAUCAGGAGGAACACCGGUGGCGAAGGCGGAUCUCUGGGCCGAUACUGACGCUGAGGAGCGAAAGCGUGGGGAGCGAACAGG